ACGAAGGUGGCGAGCGUUGUUCGGAUUUACUGGGCAUAAAGGGCGUGUAGGCGGUUCAGAAAGCGGCGUGUGAAAUCCCGGAGCUCAACUCCGGAACUGCAUGCCGAACUGCUGAGCUAGAGGACAAGAGGGGGGUGCGGAACUCUAGGUGUAGCGGUGAAAUGCGUAGAUAUCUAGAGGAACGCCGGUGGCGAAAGCGGCACCCUGGCUUGUUUCUGACGCUGAGGCGCGAAAGCGUGGGUAGCAAACAGG
rnacentral:rRNA from 1 species